rnacentral:lncRNA from 1 species
CUUACUUCAACCUAUGGGGACCGGUGUAUCACCCACCUCGAGAACAUAUGAAAAAACUUAGAAAUGUUAAAUCUUCAUGUUUGUCCCAUAUAACUAAAUGAAUAUUGAUCAUGUCUUCGGCAGUCACCAAAUGGUUGGGUCAUGUACCAACGAGUUCACAAGGGCGCGGCCUGCUGCUAUGGGAUUGUAAACAUAAGGGAGUCCUUUGGCGGCUAGCACUUGAUGGUUCCCCUGCAUUUCCUACGCAUAGCGCCCAGCGUCAGAGAGGAGAUCUUACUGUAAUGUGUCCGUGUGGUGCGCACAUGGUUUGUGUGGGGACCGGCAGCAUCACUUUUGGGACUGUGUUAUCGCAAUAGAUAUCGUGAGGCUCUGCAGAACGAACUUGUGCUUCCAGACUUGUUGUUGGGCACCCCGCCGCCCGCCAUUCAUAGGUGUGUGUGGGAGGUGAUAAGUCUCGCGGCAAUCAGCUCAAUCGCUCAAUCUCGGUCGCGGUUUGUUGUUCAGGGAAGGACUUCAGGCCAACACGGGCCUGCCUACAUCCGCUCCCACCCGCAGUGGUUACGGUGCCAUCUCCGAUUUUUGGGCCCGUUUAACUGCUUUUGCAACACGGGAUAUCCCGCCAAAACUGUGGAAGCACGUGCCUGAAAUAUUAUACUCUUUCUCGC